UAAAUGCAGUGUCCAGCGGUCCCAGUGGAGGUUCCUACAAUAUAAGAUCCACUCAGUGGAUAUCUUCUAUAUAAAAUCCUUCUCCUGAUUGACCUGUCAAAGAUGGAUAGGGACAGGGACAAGAUGGCAGAGAGUAUUAUUAAUCUUACCCUAGAGAUCCUUUUUCGGCUUACUGGAGAGGAAUACACAGUAGUGAAGAAGACCUCUAGUGAGCGCUGUCAGGACCCUGUGUCUGAAG